AACUUUUGAAAUAAGGGUGACAAAGGUAUAAUUUAUAGGGGAUACAUUCUACUAGUACUGAAGAACGAUCCCACGGCCUGAAUAAUAUCAUCCCAUGUCACAAAUAAUGACUACUAAAAAACAAAGAGAAUUGGACAAUUUCCUCCCUAGACACUAAUUUAAUGAAAUGCAAUUGUUGUUUUCUAUUCAGCUCUGGGUCAUCUUUCAUAAUUCUAGUGUUAACACUAGGCCAUUGUUCAGAUGCUUUAUCCAGUAGUCCCUUAUAGAAGCCAAGUAUCUCUUUUUCAAUUGCUUUCUGAGAAAAAACAGUGAUAUCAUCUGCAGCAGUGAAGCUCAAAGUAGUGCUUAGCAGAAUUAUAUUCUUCAUAUGAGCAAAAAAAGGAAGUGUUUCCAUCCCAAAGCUUUAACCAUUUUACCCUUGAUUAUUGUUGUAUUGCACCCUCUUCAACGAGACUACUUCACUUCUCUAAUUGAGCUUUGAGUUCUCUUUCUAAAACACAAUGAUUAUGAACUUGGUCAAAAUCUCUCUGUGUAUCCUAGACAUCUUGCAAAUUCAUUGUAAGAUCUUGCAUUUUAUCCGUUACACCUUUGAAUUCUCUAAUGUUGAGCUACUUCAUUUCAACCUUCACCUUGCUAGACUGUCUUCAUAAUACCAUUUUAUCUUGUACUAAACCAUCCAUUUUUGACUCUGUGCAAGAAAUCAGGGUGUGAAGCUAAGCGAUUGAAGAACUUGAAAGACUUGUGAUAAGAAGCAGGAUCCAUCACUAACCUCCACCCGGGGCAUAGUCAGCAUCCAAACUGCAUUUGUUAUUGCCUUAUCCAUCUUGCUAUAGACCUAUUCAUUGGACCAGAACGUGCACCCGUACAUCAUCCCUAAAAUUCAUGAGAUGAAGAUGAAUUACAUGGUUACGUUUAUGCCAUAUACGGACGAGGUGUUGAGCCUCUUAUACAUGUACUAUGGGAUGAAAUAAGCUUAAGACUAAUACGGGGUAUUACACUAUGCUCGAGAAAGUCGUGUUGAAUGUUGCUGCCAAUAUCAAAGAAAAAAGACUAAAGAAAAAAAAAGGAUGAGCAUAAACAUAAGCGAGGUAACUUCUUUUAAUAAUUAAUGUAGUAAAUGAAUUUUCAACUGUAACUAUUGGUAACACUUUAUAAUAUGAUACAAUACAUGUUGGACCAUCAUGAAGCAUAGAGGAACGAAGAGGAAUAAAAAAGGAUUAAAAUGAAUGAGUUGGCCACUGUUGUGGUAGAAGAGAAAAAAAGAAAAGCAGGAUGCAGAAGAAGAUAAGAGUGAAGAAGAAACUGAAAAAGAAGCAGCAACAGAUAAAGAAGAGGAAGGUGAGAAAGAAGCAGUAGGUGAACAAGAAGAAGAAAAGAAAGUUGAGAAAGAAGCAACAACAAAAGUUAAAAAACGAGAAGAAGGUGAGAAAGAAGAAACUAGAAAAUAUGUUGAAGAAUUAGUCAAAACUUCUGAAGAAGGAAAGGAAGAAGCAGCAGACAAAUAAAAAGAAGACAAAAAAUUAAAGAACAGAAAGAAGAAAAAGAAAAAGCAGGGGAAAAAGUUGUGGUCAUGGAUAUUGUUGAUUUCAUCAACGAUAACAUUUGUGAUGAUGAAGAAAAAGAUAUUUGAAUACAGAUAUUUUUAUUGUUUAAGACUUUUUUUUUUAUUUGAGAAACAAUGGAUUUGAAUGAUCGUUGGAUGAUAUGUCAAAUAUUUUUUUAUUUUAUAAAAGUUGUUAGAAUUUUGCAC